UGAGUAAGGUAUACGAGAAGAUCGCCAGC
rnacentral:sRNA from 1 species